rfam:Ovis aries breed Texel chromosome 1, whole genome shotgun sequence.
CCCCUGGUGGUCUAAUGGUUCGGAUUUGGCACUUCCACUGCUACGGCCUGGGUUCAACCCUUGGCUGGGGGA